UAGGGAAUCUUCCACAAUGGACGCAAGUCUGAUGGAGCAACGCCGCGUGAGUGAAGAAGGGUUUCGGCUCGUAAAGCUCUGUUAUUAAAGAAGAACGUGGGUAAGAGUAACUGUUUACCCAGUGACGGUAUUUAACCAGAAAGCCACGGCUAACUACGUGCCAC
rnacentral:rRNA from 1 species